GUAAGUGAGCUCGAGUCGCGCUCAUCACCCUGAGCGGACGCAUUCAUCUUGUAUUCUAUGCGAUGUCAGAAUUGCUUCCCUCUGAUCUAGUAACCAGUAUGGUCGGCUGCGUAUUUGCGCGGGGGUCUCUGUGUUUGCAGGAAUCACAUAGGGACGCGACUUGGUAGCAUCGAUAUGGCCUGCCAGCGUGUAACGUGUCAAGGGCCCGGUGUCAGCAGUGAGAGAGUAAACGUAGUCCUUAGCAAACAGGAGACAGGGCAUAGAUGGCGGGCAAUGGUCUGGGUUGGGGAGAUAUCAAAUCGAGCGUUGAUGGUCAAUUGUGGAGAGAAGCCGCAAGUUCGAUUUCUGGCAAACGCGACACU
rnacentral:sRNA from 2 species